CAAGCAAGCUUGCUACCAGGCUCAUUUGCAACCCUUGCAUUUGGCUGAGUUGCACCCCCGGGGACCAGCUCUGGAGGGAGUCACGCCCCAAACAGAUUCCCAGAUACCGAGGAGUUAGAUCCCCGGGCCCCCAGAGACAAGUCGACAGAAUGAGAAACCGCCGUUUCCCAAAGACACGCAGCAGUGAAGAUUCUCGCUCAGAAGGCCCUGCAAAAUCAAACAGGGAAAAAGAGACAUCACGCCCCUCCCCUCGCCACCCUGUCUGUCCCCCUGGUUCUGCCAGAACUCCACCGGCUUGCCAAGAGCCACCCAGGAACAGAUUUCCUGUCUCAUCUGCUGCAUCUGGUCGUCCACUCCUACUCCCUGUUCAUCCCCCCCAAAGGCACUGCUGGCCACAAACCCGCUGCAGACGCCGAGCUCACCAUGGCGCUGAUGUGCGUGGCUGCAGCCGCCCUCCCUUCUGCUUCUUCCGGAAACGCAGAGCAGCAGCCGCCCUCCCUCCAGCCAGCCAGGUGACACCGGGCAGCUCCCUGGUGGCAGGGCCACGUCCAAACCCCCCCGCCCAGGAAGCCAAGCCUUUACCAUCUAUACACUCGCUCCUCUACUCCAUGCCCGCGGCUUCCACUUAGCUGGGAAUAACCUCACCUCCGGUUCAAGCCACGGGAAAGUCAGGAGGCUUGGGUGGUAUUUCAGGUUGAGUAAUUGCCUUGCUGGGGUCGGGGUUGGGGUGGGGGGUGGGGCGCUGGCUGAAUCCUUUCUGAGCCAGGGUGUCUCUGACUUGAAAACAGAGAAAUCUCCCAGGCAAUAGGUGUUUGUCAGGUGCACUGAAAUCGGCUACUAAAAGAUAAAUCUUUAUUUUAACAGAUGAAUCCUGUUUAUUUUCUUCUUCCCUUCCGCCCACCCCACCUUUUCCUUUUUGGUUGGUCUGGAGCAUCCUCAAUGCCUCCUUGGUGGGUGCCCCAGGCAACCUGUGUAGACAACCUACUAUUUAUCUGUUAUGGACCGGAUAUUUGGGUUUCCCCAAAUUCCUAUGUUGAGGUCCUACCUCCCAGAGUGCUGGGAUAGGGAGGCGGGGCCUCUAGGAGGUACUGAGAGUAGAGCCCCCAUGGUGGGAUUAGGGGCUUUCUAAGAAGAGGAAGAGACCUGGGAAUGUCCUCUCCUGGUCCUGUGAAGAUCAAGGCGGCCAUCUGCAAGACACGAAAAGGGCCUUUACCAAAAACGAGAUCUACUGACACCUUGAACUGGGACGUCAGCCUCCAGAACUGUCGGAAAUAAAUGUCUGUUGAUGAAAACCAGUCUGUGAGAUUCAGUUAUAGCAGCUGGAGGAGACCUAGACAUUAUCCUUUCCCCACUUUUCCUCCAUGUUCGUAUAAUCAUCCAUAACCAUCAAAGAACAUCUGUAUAAACACAUAUAUGUUUAUCAUUGUUUUCUUCUUUUUAUAUUUUUCUGUAUCUUGCUUUUUGUUUGUUUGUUUCCUGUAGCACCUAAUGGAAUCCCUCUUAAUUCACUCAGGCUAGCUCUAAGUUAACUUUCUGAACAGCCACAAAGUGGAGCAGAACUACAGUUUCUUUAACCGUUCUCCUACAGAGAAUAUUUACUUUGUGUUCAGUUUUUUGUUUGCUUGUUUAAUCACCAUUUACAAUGGAGUGCAUUUCUGUGAAAAUACAUCCUUAGGUCUUAAAGCUUUCACUCCUAAGGGAUAGAUUCCUGGAAGUGCAGAUUCUGAGUCAGACAUGUAUGUAUUUUUAAUCAUAAAAGAUGUUGCCACAUUUCUUUCAAGAAAGAUUGCAUUAAUACAUACUUCCAACAGAAAUGUUCUAGAGUCCACACAUCCUCUUUAGCAAUAGGGAUUAUUGGUUCCCCAUUUUCCCAUCUGAUCAGUGUAAGUUGCUGUCUCGUUGUGACUUUACUUCCUAUCUCCCUGAUUGCCCCUGAAUUUGAGCCUCUUUUCAUGCAUGUGCUGGUCACCUGGAAUUGCUUUUCUGUGAAUUACCUAUUCACAUCUUUGGCUCAGUUUUCUGUUAUGCUGUUUAUCCCUGACUUACUUGUUUUGUAAGAGUUCUUUGUAUAUUAUAGCUGUUCACCCCCUGAUCUCUGGGUUGCUCCCCAGGCUAGUGUUUAUCUAUUGACUUAGUUUAUGGUGGCUUUUCCAAGCCAUGGCUUCUCAUUUUUAUCUCAUCAAGUAUGUAUGUAUGUACUUUAUAGCUUCUGAAUUUCCAACAUUGAUUAAAAAGCUCUCAUCCACCCUAGAUUUUACAUGUGGUGAUCCAGUAUUAUUGUUGUUUCAAUUUUUACAUUUAGAUCUUCAAUCUACCUAGAAUUUAUUUUAUGUAUGGGGUAAGAGAGGAGCCAAGGCGGGACUUGGUCCCAGGACCCUGAGAUCAUGACCUGAGCUGAAAACAAGAGGCAGAGGCUUAAUCAACUGAGCCACCCAGGUGCUCCUCAUCUUUAUUUAAUACCCAAUCCUUACCCACUGGAUUGAAAAAAUCACUUUUUAAAAACAGCUUUAUUGAUUUUCAACAACAUGGAUAGAGCUAGAGAGCAUAAUGAAAUGCUAAACCAAGUAAGUCAGAGAUAGACAUACUAUCUGAUUUCACAGAUAUGUGGAAUUUAAGAAACAAAAUAAAUGAACAAAUAAAAAAAAGA